rnacentral:rRNA from 1 species
CAAUAGAUACCCGGGUAGUCCUACGCCGUAAACGAUCGGAUACUAGCUGUUGGACGCAAGUUCAGGUGGCUAAGCGAAAGUGAUAAGUAUCCCACCUGGGGAGUACGAACGCAAGUUUGAAACUCAAAGGAAUUGACGGGGGCCCGCACAAGCGGUGGAGCAUGUGGUUUAAUUCGAUGAUACGCGAGGAACCUUACCAAGGCUUAAAUGCAGACUGACCGGUUUGGAAACAGACCUUCCGCAAGACAGUCUACAAGGUGCUGCAUGGUUGUCGUCAGCUCGUGCCGUGAGGUGUCAGGUUAAGUCCUAUAACGAGCGCAACCCCUGUUGCUAGUUGCCAGCGAGUCAUAUUCGGGAACUCUAGCAAGACUGCCAGUGCAAACUGUGAGGAAGGUGGGGAUGACGUCAAAUCAUCACGGCCCUUACGCCUUGGGCUACACACGUGCUACAAUGGCCGGUACAGAGAGCAGCCACCCCGGCGAGGGGGAGCGAAUCUAUAAAGCCGGUCACGAGUUCGGAUCGGAGU